CGAACUAAGCGUAAACAGUAAUUUCAACAAAAAGAAUUCUCAAAAGGCACAACUGAUAAAACCAAACCUAAGCGGUAAUCACAGUGAGUCCAUCAAACACAAAAUUUAAUGAGAAUAGAUUAACCUUAUAAACAUCUAAACCAAACUGAUUCAGAAUUAUAAACAUUUAAUAACAGAAGCAAAAUAAGACAUGUAGCAGAGAAAGAUUCAAAUUAAAUAAAAUUAAAUAGACAAUAGAAAAAUCAAGAAAAGAACAUGAAAAGGAAGCUUUCUUUAAUAUAUGAGAAAUAAAGCUUUUGAAAUAGCUUCACAAAAGUGAAAAUCCGCACGAAGAAGACGGAAAAUCAUAGCUCAACAACAGGUCAUAGCAAGAUCAACAGCACUCAGGUAACAGAGCCUCGACACGAUUAAUAGAGAAGCUUCGGAGCUUCAACAAUGGCAUUUUUUAGAGGUAUUUCCGCUGGUUUUGAGUUGGUUUUUGUGAUGGCUUAUCAGAGGAGGCGAAAGAGGUUAUUGACAAGUUGAAGGUUGGUUUUUCGAAUUCUCUUCAAUGGAGGUGACUAGCCGCUAUUCGCGAGGAAGAAGGAGGCCAGCCGUGGCUGUCUUUCUCCAUGAGAAAUGAGAGAUCUGGUUCUUUUGGGGCGGCGGCUCGGCGGAAGCUUGAGGGGUUUGGCGGAUUUGAAAUGACGAGAGGUAAGGAAGAAGAAAACCAAAAUGGGGAAGCGGCGUUCUGUCCUUUUUUUAAGGGCAGGGUCUGAUCUAGGUCUAGACAUGGGGAAAAAAUCAGAUUCCCCUCUUUUAGGUUGUGAGAAUUGAUAUUUGGAUAGUGGGUUGAGAUUGUAUGAGUAUGGGUAAUUUGGGAUUUUUCUGCUUCAAAUGAAGCUAGCCCAGAUGAAAUUGAAAGACCAAAUCUACUUCUUUC
rnacentral:lncRNA from 1 species